CGAACGCUGGCGGCGUGCUUAACACAUGCAAGUCGAACGCGAACGGUUUUCUUCGGAGGACCUAGUAGAGUGGCGCACGGGUGAGUAACGCGUAAGUAAUCUACCCUGGCAUCUGGGAUAACUCAGCGAAAGCUGUGCUAAUACCGGAUACGCUGGAGACAGGAAAGGUGGCCUCUUCAUGAAAGCUACUGUGCCGGGAUGAGCUUGCGUACCAUUAGCUAGUUGGUGGGGUAAUGGCCUACCAAGGCGACGAUGGUUAGCGGGUCUGAGAGGAUGAUCCGCCACACUGGAACUGGAACACGGACCAGACUCCUACGGGAGGCAGCAGUGAGGAAUAUUGCGCAAUGGGGGAAACCCUGACGCAGCGACGCCGCGUGGAUGAUGAAGGCUUUCGGGUCGUAAAAUCCUGUCAGAUGGGAAGAAGUGUUAUAUGUUUAAUAUGCAUAUAAUUUGACGGUACCAUCAAAGGAAGCACCGGCUAACUCC
rnacentral:rRNA from 1 species